GAGCCAGGCUCAAGUAUUGGCACCAAGUUAGGUCUCAGAGGAAAGAAUGGAAACCAAUCACUUUACAUUUUUAUUUUUAUUUUCGGUGGAAAAAUCAUCCUUUUUUGGGACAUACUUGCCCCCUACUUCCUCUUCUCUCUGGAACGGCUCACAAUGAGUGUGACAUUAGAAAACUCCUUGCAGAGGAGAGUUUCUCCAGGGCCUCCUCCCAAGUGUGGCUUUAAGGAGUAAGCUUGAGGAUGAUGUUUUUUAAUUAUUGUAAAUCAUUACCUCAUUUCCAGCCUCCCAGGCUCCAUCCAUCCCAGCAUCUUUUAUUCUGCCAUUUUCCUCACCUUGUGCUAUGACAAUGGGGCGUUGUGUUUCCACAGAGACUUAUAGGAGUGUUCAGUGUAUAGUUUCUUAAUAAACACUUUAUUUUCUAAUG
rnacentral:lncRNA from 1 species